rnacentral:lncRNA from 1 species
CCUUGAACUAUUUUUUUUCUUCUUAUCAACAGAUUCAAGUAUGUUCUUUUUUCAAGUAAACAUUUGCAAAUUUGCUCCCGUUCUUCUCCAAAACUUUUGUUUUUCUCUCUUUCCAUCACCUUCUACAUAUCAAAUCUGCCCCAUCCCACCUAAUCAUCAACUAGAUCAGAUCUAAGCUACAGAGCAUGGGUGGGCCGCAAGGAGGAGGUUGAGAUGAGAGCAGGAUGGAGAAAAGCCAGAAUAGAAAGAGGCAGACGAGAGGCCUAAUGAGGCUAUCGACUUCUGAUCGUCAAUUUUCAUAACGUCAAAUCUCCUCUACCCGUUCUUAGAUGCAUAAAGUUCAUCAAAUAUUGUUUAAAUUGGUUUUUCCUACAAGUGAUUCCACCAAUCUCAUCUAUGAGAUUUUUUCCCCUUAUACUUUGUUUGUUUUGUUGGAAAGAUCUGAUUUGUGACUCGAUCUUUUUUUUUUGUGAUAAAUUUCUGACUCAAUUUUUGCAUUCAAGAUGUUAAUACUUUUCAAUUGUCUUGCAAUAUAUUGUUGAAUCUAUUGGCACCGGAGAGAAGGAGAAGAGAAUGAAAUUAUUGGUGCGAGGAUAAUAUUGUCUAGAUAAAGGGUAAAAUUUUAAUCUAACCGAAUCAGAGGUUUGGAGAAUCAGUCAGAGGCAUUCAAAGUUGUACCAAACAAACUAUACCUCUGAUCGAAAUUGAUCUACUCCCGUUACGAGGCUAUAAGAUCCAAACAAAAGUCAGAGAAAUGGGUGGAAAAUAACCCCUUGCCGUCUCUUCUAUUUGUGAUUGAUUUAUAUUUUUAGGGAAUUGACAAAGUAAAAGCCAUAUUUCUACAACGUUACUCCCACUCCGUAGUACUCCCUAGUUCGACGUUAGAGAAGUUUUUUUCCCCCUUAGAUAUAGUACGUUUUAUAAUUUUAAGUAAGUAUUAAUUAUUUAGUUUUUAAUAUUAUUCUAAAUAUUAAAUAUAAUUGUAGUUCUCUCAUUAUUUUUUGACUAAUAAAUAACAAUCUCUUUUUUCAAUACAAGGAC